rnacentral:misc_RNA from 1 species
CCUUACGUACAUUCGCGUAGAUUAACUUUUGAUACGAGACCUCCUCAGUCUACGUUGGAACCUCGAUUCGUACGCGCGAGCUGGGACACGUUGUACGCUUUCGGGUAUCAAAUUUCUAUUAGUGACAGCGAAUUACUUUAGUCUACAGCGUAAGUUUUGGAGCGAGACAGGGUACUCGCGCAGCUGUAAAGUCGACGAACAAGUAGCCAGCCAGAGAACAAAAGAUCGGCCCAGCACUGGUGCGCCAACAGGGGGGAAAAUAAACGAGCAAACGAUCCAGAGAAGUGCACAACGGUAUAGCUUGUUAAUUAUUAAUUAAGGAUGCGUUUGCUGCUAGCGAUCGUAGUUCUAAGUUUCUGGAUUUCGUGCGUUCGUGCCUAUCCUGCGAACG